rnacentral:rRNA from 1 species
CCUACGGGAGGCAGCAGUGAGGAAUAUUGGUCAAUGGGAGAGAUCCUGAACCAGCCAAGCCGCGUGAGGGAAGACGGCCCUAUGGGUUGUAAACCUCUUUUGUCGGAGAACAAAUCCCGGGACGUGUCCCGGACUGCGCGUAUCCGUAGAAAAAGCAUCGGCUAACUCCGUGCCAGCAGCCGCGGUAAAACGGAGGAUGCGAGCGUUAUCCGGAUUUAUUGGGGUUAAAGGGUGCGUAGGCGGUCCGUUAAGUCAGCGGGAAAAUCUCGGGGCUAAACCCCGUCGAGCAGUUGAAACUGGCAGACUUGAGUUGGCGAGAAGUACGCGGAAUGCGCGGUGUAGCGGUGAAAUGCAUAGAGAUC